rnacentral:lncRNA from 1 species
UACUCCUUAUAUAAUCCAAUAAAAUUCUAUCUUCCUCAUAAAAAAGCCCUAUCUCCCCACCGCCAAUCUCUGUUUUCUUAAACUUCUUCUCUAUCUUCUCUGUUGCCGUCGUUUUCCGAGUCUUCUCAAACUCCGUCUAGCUUUCUUCUCCGUCACCAUCCAUUCUCCUCCUUACCCCCUUGUGCUUCAUCUCUCAGCCAUGGAUUGGAGUGAAGCGAGUUUUAAAUCGUCAUCAAGAAAUAAACAGGUCGGGUAGAAGUGUUGGCACAAAUGCCAAGCCAUCUUGAAAGUUGCAGCAACAGGUAAAAACAUGGGUCGACCAUUCUAUUGUUGUCCUUACUGGCAAGAUAAGGUAACUGAUUGUGGAUUCUUCAAGUGGGCAACUGGGAAAGCAAAAGAAGACGAAGGUUCAGUGCUAGGCGAGUUAAGAAAUCAGAAUGAAGAGCUGAUGUGUUCUCUCCGUGAUGCAAUCGAAGUUUCAUACACGAACUUUUUUUUUUUGGCUUGUACGGUUUCUUUUAGGAAUAAAAUUAAUUCUUCUAUAAGGAUAUUUAAGAGAGAGAACAGAAAAACGUGGGAUGAAAAUUUUGUAGGAGUUAAUUCAUGAAGAAAAAUAUAAAAAAAUUAUUUUAUUGGUAGAAUUCCUAAAUUUAAGGAGAGCAAAGAAAAGAAAAGAAAUGGCUGAUGCGGCAAAAUUUUAAAAUUGAAAAUACUUAAUAAAUAUUUAGUGUUGAUGUUGAUGGAGCGAAGAUGAAGCUAGUGGCGGCUGCCUACCUCUCUGGACGUAUGGGUGAACCGAGUUGUGUAGUAGAGUGGGUUGUUGCAUAUGUGAGUUCUGGUUGCGUACUAGUUGGCCAGCAUGAGGCAGUUGAAUUUUGAGAUGCUUCGUUUGGCUUUGACCAUAGCUUGGUGGUUAUUAUAGCAGAGUUGAGAUUUACCUUAUGAAACAAACGACAACCCUCAACACAAGACAGACUUAUCAAACAAAGAGAGAGAAGAAGGUAACAGCCCAAAUCUAAAGAUACAGAUGAAGAAGCUCUGAGGAUAUCAGAAGAUUUAUCAAAAAUAGAACCAGUCAAAAUGGGUAGGACGUUAAGACACUUCUUUGCUUCUCUUCUCCACUAAUCUAAUACAGUUCUGUUUGCAGGAUCUUCGACGUCUGACAUUAUAAAAUGUAAUGCAGACUGCAGAGUCUGCUCCCAUUCAAAUUCGUUUCACCUCACCUGGCUCCUGGAUUUUGAUUGAUGUUUUUGCCAAGCUUGCUUCCAGUU